CUACUGUUUGUCUUAUUUCUGAGUUUACACAGUGUUUUAUUGACUGCUAUUACCAUUUCCAUAGUGAUACUGUCUGUUUUACUGCCGUUUCACAAAAGGAUCUGAGAGUGAAAAACUAAAGAACACACUAACUCUCAGACACACAUACAGGCCUACAGUAGGACUAGGUUCCAGAGAGAGACAACAGACACACAUACAGGUCUACAGUAGGACUAGGUUCCAGAGAGAGACAACAGACACACAUACAGGUCUACAGUAGGACUAGGUUCCAGAGAGAGACAACAGACACACAUACAGGUCUACAGUAGGACUAGGUUCCAGAGAGAGACAACAGACACACAUACAGGUCUACAGUAGGACUAGGUUCCAGAGAGAGGAGACACACACAUACAGGUCUACAGUAGGACUAGGUUCCAGAGAGAGACAGACACACAUACAGGUCUACAGUAGGACUAGGUUCCAGAGAGAGGAGACACACACAUACAGGUCUACAGUAGGACUAGGUUCCAGAGAGAGGAGACACACACAUACAGGUCUACAGUAGGACUAGGUUCCAGAGAGAGACAGACACACAUACAGGUCUACAGUAGGACUAGGUUCCAGAGAGAGGAGACACACACAUACAGGUCUACAGUAGGACUAGGUUCCAGAGAGACAACAG